AGUGAACGCUGGCGGUAGGCCUAACACAUGCAAGUCGAACGGCAGCACAAUAAGCUCGCGCUUUUGCGGGUGGCGAGGGGCGGGCGGGUGAGGAAUACAUCACCAUCCUCUUUUUCGUGGGGGACAACGGAGAGACGCAUACGAUAACAGCGCAUACGAUCUACGGGAGAGAUCAGGAGAUCAUGACACUUUGCGCGUCACUUAGAGCUGAUUCCGCGUUGCAUUAGCUAGUUGGUAAGGUAACGGCACACCAAGGCAACGAUGCAUAGCUGAGCUGAGAGGAUGAUCAGCCACACUGGAACUGAGACACGGUCCAGACUCCUACGGGAGGCAGCAGUGGGGAAUAUUGGACAAUGGGCGCAAGCCUGAUCCAGCCAUACCGCGUGAGUGAAGAAGGCCUUCGGGUUGUAAAGCCCUUUUGUUGGGAAAGAAAAGCAGCAGGUUAAUACCCCGCUGUUCUGACGGUACCCAAAGAAUAAGCACCGGCUAACUUCGUG
rnacentral:rRNA from 1 species